AUUGAACGCUGGCGGCAGGCUUAACACAUGCAAGUCGAGCGGAGAUGAGGUGCUUGCACCUUAUCUUAGCGGCGGACGGGUGAGUAAUGCUUAGGAAUCUGCCUAUUAGUGGGGGACAACAUUCCGAAAGGAAUGCUAAUACCGCAUACGUCCUACGGGAGAAAGCAGGGGAUCUUCGGACCUUGCGCUAAUAGAUGAGCCUAAGUCGGAUUAGCUAGUUGGUGGGGUAAAGGCCUACCAAGGCGACGAUCUGUAGCGGGUCUGAGAGGAUGAGCAGCCACACUGGGACUGAGACACGGCCCAGACUCCUACGGGAGGCAGCAGUGGGGAAUAUUGGACAAUGGGGGAAACCCUGAUCCAGCCAUGCCGCGUGUGUGAAGAAGGCCUUAUGGUUGUAAAGCACUUUAAGCGAGGAGGAGGCUACUGAGACUAAUACUCUUGGAUAGUGGACGUUACUCGCAGAAUAAGCACCGGCUAACUCUGUGCCAGCCGCCGCAGUAA
rnacentral:rRNA from 1 species